rnacentral:rRNA from 1 species
UACGAAGGUGGCAAGCGUUGUUCGGAUUUACUGGGCGUACAGGGAGCGUAGGCGGUUGGGUAAGCCCUCCGUGAAAUCUCCGGGCCUAACCCGGAAAGUGCGGAGGGGACUGCUCGGCUAGAGGAUGGGAGAGGAGCGCGGAAUUCCCGGUGUAGCGGUGAAAUGCGUAGAGAUCGGGAGGAACACCAGUGGCGAAGGCGGCUUGCUGGGCCGGACCUGACGCUGAGGCGCGAAAGCUAGGGGAGCAAACGGG